rnacentral:tRNA from 8 species
GUCUCGGUGGCGCAAUGGUAGCGCGUUGGACUUCUAAUCCAAAGGCUGCGGGUUCGAGCCCCGCCCGAGAUG